rnacentral:rRNA from 1 species
AGUGAACGCUGGCGGUAGGCCUAACACAUGCAAGUCGAACGGCAGCACAGUAAGAGCUCGCUCUUACGGGUGGCGAGUGGCGGACGGGUGAGGCAUACAUCGGAAUCUACUUUUUCGUGGGGGAUAACGUAGGGAAACUUACGCUAAUACCGCAUACGACCUACGGGUGAAAGCAGGGGAUCUUCGGACCUUGCGCGAUUGAAUGAGCCGAUGUCGGAUUAGCUAGUUGGCGGGGUAAAGGCCCACCAAGGCGACGAUCCGUAGCUGGUCUGAGAGGAUGAUCGGCCACACUGGAACUGAGACACGGUCCAGACUCCUACGGGAGGCAGCAGUGGGGAAUAUUGCACAAUGGGCGCAAGCCUGAUCCAGCCAUACCGCGUGAGUGAAGAAGGCCUUCGGGUUGUAAAGCCCUUUUGUUGGGAAAGAAAAGCAGCAGGUUAAUACCCCGCUGUUCUGACGGUACCCAAAGAAUAAGCACCGGCUAACUUCGUG